rnacentral:lncRNA from 1 species
UAUUCAAGUUUCCCAAAAAAGUCGAAAAAUUGUAUUUCUAAUCAAUAGUUCGGAUGCAGAAUUGAAUUUCAAACACUUUUUGUCUCUUGCGAAAAUUGUCUACAACGUACUGUUGAUGAUAUAAUAGACCUUUUGCGCUAAUUUUAAUCCAAAUAGGGACUUGGAAAAAAUUUGAUCGAUUUCUAAGUUUCCCAAAAAUGUUCAAAAAAGCAGUCUUUUAUCACUUAUUCGGCUACAGAAGUAGAUUUCCAGCACUUCUUCUCAAUGCAAAAAUCCCGUCAGACGGGCCGUUGACGGGCUACUAACGUUUAAAAUUUUAAAUAAUUGGUAAUUGAUGAUGGAAAAUUUUGAAAAAAAUAAUUAACGAUUCUGUUCAUGUUAUAAACAUUGUCCUAGAAUUUCAAAUGUUUCCAUCCAAAAUUGAGAAAGUUAUAUCAUUUUUUCAAAUUAGAUUCCAGUUUGUGCUGAAAAUCAUGUCACACACCAAGCCUAUGAAAUAAUUUUCAAGUUUCAAAUUCAAAUAAUAAUAAACUAGGUACUAUUUUAUUGAUUCCAACAUUAUUUCAGUGGAAGCACAAAUGUCCCCAUAAAGAAAUCAUUAAUCCAUCCCAGAAAUAUGGACUGUUUUAAUGUUAACAAUAAAGAUUGUCUAUAUCAAUAACUUUGAAACUCCCGGGUUAAUUCGUGCUUGUGCACUACUGCGCUUGAGCGACAGCCAUUAAAGAUGUCCUCGUCCUGUCUUCUUCAGUUUUCACUGUUUUCAGUAGUUGAAGGUGAAGUAUUGCAGUAUUGGUUUGUUGUUUGUUUAUCCUUUAUUUUAUCGCGUCAUCAAGUUGAUGAUGAUUUUUGAUUGCUGAAGGUCUUAAAUUAAGACAAAGGUGGGAAUAGAACUGCAGAUACAUAUUAUACUAAAAUCCACCAUGACAGAUGAAUAUGAUGCCAAGGAUUAGAUUUGAAAAAAGUUCUUCUCCUCUCUACAUUUGAUGAAAGCCAUUUUCAGCAAAGGUGGGAAUAGAAGUGCAGACGCAUAUACCAAAAUCCACCAUGACAGACGAAUAUGCUGCCAACUACAGUUUUAGAUUCAAAACUCCUUUCUACAUCUGAUGGAAACCAUUUUCAGACCAAGAGCAGAGAGACUACGCCUCAUGAAGCUCAAAUCGAGGACGAUAGCAGUUCAAAGUAAAAAUAUAUAAUUAGUUAUAAAUUGAAAGUUCAAUUUUUGUAAUAUUAAUAAAAAUCAUUGCAUUUUAUUGAAAA